rfam:Clostridium colicanis 209318 genomic scaffold acBRg-supercont1.1, whole genome shotgun sequence.
UGAAAAGUUAAAAAUAUUCCGUAGACAGUAGGUGCUGAUAAGCGUAACGUAUACAACCUACCGAGGGUGAUUAGAAUGUUUAAGAUCUUCCUCUGUCUACGGGAAGAUCUUUUUUAAUACGAUA